UUGAGACUUUCCUGACUCAUU
ensembl:piRNA 21ur-10952 ncRNA